rnacentral:rRNA from 1 species
GCUAAACGCGAAGAACCUUACCAGGUCUUGACAUCCCUCUGAAUCCGGUAGAGAUAUCGGCGGCCUUCGGGACAGAGGAGACAGGUGGUGCAUGGUUGUCGUCAGCUCGUGUCGUGAGAUGUUGGGUUAAGUCCCGCAACGAGCGCAACCCUUGAACUUAGUUGCCAGCGAGUGAGGUCGGGCACUCUAGGUUGACUGCCGGUGACAAACCGGAGGAAGGCGGGGAUGACGUCAAAUCAUCAUGCCCCUUAUGACCUGGGCUACACACGUACUACAAUGGCCGGUACAACGGGCUGCGAAACCGCGAGGUGGAGCCAAUCCCAACAAAGCCGGUCUCAGUUCGGAUUGCAGGCUGCAACUCGCCUGCAUGAAGUCGGAAUUGCUAGUAAUCGCGGAUCAGCAUGCCGCGGUGAAUACGUUCCCGGGUCUUGUACACACCG